rnacentral:rRNA from 1 species
UGGUGAAUUUUGGACAAUGGGCGCAAGCCUGAUCCAGCAAUGCCGCGUGCAGGAUGAAGGCCUUCGGGUUGUAAACUGCUUUUGUACGGAACGAAACGGUCUUUUCUAAUACAGAAGGCUAAUGACGGUACCGUAAGAAUAAGCACCGGCUAACUACGUGCCAGCAGCCGCGGUAAUACGUAGGGUGCGAGCGUUAAUCGGAAUUACUGGGCGUAAAGCGUUCGCAGGCGGUUUUGUAAGACAGAUGUGAAAUCACCGGGCUCAACCUGGGAAUUGCCUUUGUGACUGCAAGGCUUGAGUGAGGCAGAGGGGGAUGGAAUUACGAGUGUAGCAGUGAAAUGCGUAGAUAUGAGGAGGAACACCGAUGGCGAAGGCAAUCCCCUGGGCCUGCACUGACGCUCAUGCACGAAAGCGUGGGGAGCAAACA